UACAAAUUCCUUUAGAAGCAUGAACAGGACAAAGCAGGUUGUCCCAUUAAGCGCUCAUACACACGUGUCCUGUGUAAUACUCAACUGGACAGGUUCUGACAUUAGCAGGACAUAGUGUUAAAACUAGUAUACUGGAAGUGAAGUUGUCCUAAUGAUCACUCUUACACACAUGUCCUGUGUAAUACUCAACUGGACAGGUCCAGGUUUUAGCAGGACUAUGUGCUCAGUGUUUAAGCAAA